rnacentral:lncRNA from 1 species
UGCCACCGCGCCCCCCCAUUGCCGAGGCUUGAUUCAUUAAAUCAAUGCAUGACUGCAUUAACUAGAACUAGGCCCAUGGGAUACCACAGGGGUGUACCUGCAUUAGGUCCGUCAUGAUUGGCGGCAAUACUGAAUGGAUAUUUCCCUCCUGAGGAAGGCUUUGUUUUUUUUUUCUUCUUUUUUUUCUUUUCAAACCACACCCUUCUUCGACAAUUGGUUGAUCAUUUCUCCGGCACGCAUAGACCAACGUUUAUUCUGUGAUGUUAUUGGUCUGCUUCAUUUUUCUUUUCGUUCUAUGUAUGCAUGCUGCCAGAUAUGGCUCGAGAAUCGAGGUCAUGGCUCCAAGAGCAUUUAAUGCGUCCUUCCGACGGACAUCCAAGUUGCGCCCCGUACGAUUGAAUUCCCCGCCGCCGCGAUGACCUUGUUUUUUUGCGCCUGAGCAAUUUCUACAUAUUUAGAAACAUACUGUCAAAAAAUUUCCUCACACGAUCUCAUCUCAUCACAGCACAUUAGUUAGUUGGAGCUCGGAGAUAUCCCCCUCUCAUCGUGUGUAGCACUGCAUUAGUACUACAUAUGUACUACGAUCAUGGAUGAGGGCGUGUGCCUGAAGAUUUCGAAUAGGGCUGACCAGUAGUACAUUGUACCCCUCAAUUUUACGGAAUCUAGACUAGGCUAAUCGCGAGUCGUUUUUCGCCAUUUGGCCUCAUUUUAAUAACUACCCUAGGGUAACUUACAACGUAGUUAGUUACUUACUUACUCCGUAUGUAUGGAAGAUAUCACAUUUUAGCUACAGAAACAGAACGUGAUGAGACUGGGUUAUGUAGGCGGACCCUAGGACGAUCCCAUGGGAUUUCGACUUGGACCUUGCAACCGCAUUGAUUUUCUUGUCUGAGUAACUCCACUGUAAAAGAUCCCUUGUUGGAGAAAUCUGCAUGUCUCGCGACGUGUGACUACUUGCCAAUCUGGUUGACCGUCUUGGUUAAAUUGCCUCGCUUUCAGGCUGAUUGAUGAAGGGGGAGAGAUAACGAAUGGCGCAAUUCUCAAUUGGACUUGUUAUCACUCACUAGACUGAUAAAAA